rnacentral:lncRNA from 1 species
GCCAAUUUGGGGCCAGCCAGCAUCAGCCGGCCACGAACAGCACAGAAGACAGCGCCAAGGAGAGGCUGCGGUCUGACUGUGCGUCCUGAAAGACCAGCGAGGUCUAGGGGUUCCUGGGGCCCAGCCCCGCCUGUGUCCCUUCCCCUCUCUUCACCUGCCUGCCAGGGAUCAGACUAGGUCUGCCAUAAUUCAGGGUGCUCAAGCAGGAAGAGGAGAGUGAUGGAGAGAUCUCAACGGUGUCUUUGGCGCCUUUGACCAGCAGCUGUAUCCACC